GCACCUAAGCCAUCGAGUUUUGGAAACCCUUACUCUGUUGUCUAGAACAACAACAUCUUACAUCUAGGAACGAAAAGAAUACUUAAUAGUUGGUAAAUUCUUGCAAUAAAACUGUUGCUGGUGUGAAAUAACAAAACUGUGAACUUAUUUGACACUCUCCUCACCUCCACACCAGUGGAUUCACCGUCUCCGGCAACUAUCAUUCCUCGCCGCGAGCCGAACCAAGGUUCCGUGUGAACUUUGGCUCUGACUUGAGUUACGGCGGGCUAGCCACCAUGGCAUCUGAACAAGUAGAGGAUAGUGGUGCAUGCUUGUGAAAUCCUAUUGCUGCGUUAAGAUAUCGUGUAGCGAUGAGGUAACAGCUUAAUUCCCUACAUUUUUGUGAGGUCUUUGUCUCUUUGAUCCUGCUCUUGUAUUUUUUGCUAGAGGAGGUGUAGUCGCUGCGACGUUGCAGCUCACCUCCGAUCAUUGCCGAGUUUCAUGCUACAUUAUUCUUAUUUUUUUUUUAGUGAAACAUUAUUCUUAUUUAAUAAAACACCUCUUUUUUCUUGUAAACAUGACACGACCGAUGAGUCGAUUUGUCGAGAAGCUCCGGCCGAAAAGAAAUGGGCCUUUGUUGGAAAAUACUGGUAGAUAUUACGAGCUCAUAGCGCCUGCUCCCUAGUGCCCCUCCCCAUCCCCUCUCCCCUCGCCGCCUCCCGAGGCCGACGCUGGCGAAGCUGCGCGCUGGUCAGUGACGGGGGCACGGGGAUGUUUCGGUUGCUGCAUCCUGCGGCGGUGGUGUCGGUCCUGGCCGGCAGGGAGCGGGGAUGCCGGGGCGGUGGCCCCGGAAAGCGGAUGCGUGGCUCGUUCCUCUCCUGCG
rnacentral:lncRNA from 1 species